rnacentral:rRNA from 1 species
GACGAACGCUGGCGGCGUGCUUAACACAUGCAAGUCGAACGGAAAGGCCCUGCUUUUGUGGGGUGCUCGAGUGGCGAACGGGUGAGUAACACGUGAGUAACCUGCCCUUGACUUUGGGAUAACUUCAGGAAACUGGGGCUAAUACCGGAUAGGAGCUCCUGCUGCAUGGUGGGGGUUGGAAAGUUUCGGCGGUUGGGGAUGGACUCGCGGCUUAUCAGCUUGUUGGUGGGGUAGUUGCUUACCAAGGCUUUGACGGGUAGCCGGCAUGAGAGGGUGACCGGCCACAUUGGGACUGAGAUACGGCCCAGACUCCUACGGGAGGCAGCAGUGGGGAAUCUUGCACAGUGGGCGGAAGCCUGAUGCAGCAACGCCGCGUGCGGGAUGACGGCCUUCGGGUUGUAAACCGCUUUCGCCUGUGACGAAGCGUGAGUGACGGUAAUGGGUAAAGAAGCACCGGCUAACUACGUG